rnacentral:rRNA from 1 species
UACAGAGGGGGCAAGCGUUGUUCGGAAUUACUGGGCGUAAAGGGCUCGUAGGCGGCCAACUAAGUCGGAUGUGAAAUCCCUCAGCUUAACUGGGGAACUGCGUCUGAUACUGGAUGGCUUGGAUUCGGGAGAGGAAUGCGGAAUUCCAGGUGUAGCGGUGAAAUGCGUAGAUAUCUGGAGGAACACCGGUGGCGAAGGCGGCAUUCUGGACCGACAUUGACGCUGAGGAGCGAAAGCCAGGGGAGCAAACGGG